AGUGAACGCUGGCGGUAGGCCUAACACAUGCAAGUCGAACGGCAGCACAGUAAGAGCUUGCUCUUACGGGUGGCGAGUGGCGGACGGGUGAGGAAUACAUCGGAAUCUACUUUUUCGUGGGGGAUAACGUAGGGAAACUUACGCUAAUACCGCAUACGACCUACGGGUGAAAGCAGGGGAUCUUCGGACCUUGCGCGAUUGAAUGAGCCGAUGUCGGAUUAGCUAGUUGGCGGGGUAAAGGCCCACCAAGGCGACGAUCCGUAGCUGGUCUGAGAGGAUGAUCAGCCACACUGGAACUGAGACGCGGUCCAGAGUCCUACGGGAGGCAGCAGUGGGGAAUAUUGGACAAUGGGCGGAAGCCUGAUCCAGCCAUACCGCGUGGGUGAAGAAGGCCUUCGGGUUGUAAAGCCCUUUUGUUGGGAAAGAAAAGCAGCAGGUUAAUACCCCGCUGUUCUGACGGUACCCAAAGAAUAAGCACCGGCUAACUUCGUG
rnacentral:rRNA from 1 species